GCCUGAUUGGCUCAGUGGUUGAGCAUCUGCCUUUGGCUCAGGGCGUUAUCCCAGGGUUCCAGGAUCGAGUCCUGCAUCGGGCU
rnacentral:tRNA from 1 species